rnacentral:piRNA from 1 species
UGGAUUUCNGGAAUGUCCUUAGGCCUAGGC